GCGCAAAUGGUGGCCGGAGUUGGAAGUUCGCAGUGGAGAGAGAAAGUGGGUGGCAGCCACGUUUUCUGGCUUUUCUAGCGAAGGAUGGAUGAUCGGAGGACAUAUCCGGACUCUUCUCAACUCAAAAUUUCCAAUGGCACCGGUUUCAUGGCGAUCGGAUCCCGUUUGAAAAUCAACGGCCGAGAUCGUCCGUAAAUCUCUCCGGAUGAUCGAGGGUCGGAUUAAAAGAUCGGAAGCGGGGAUCAUCAUCAGCGCGUCGUUUCGAGUUUGUUGGUGCGUUCGGAUCAUCGAUCGGACUCCGGCGGCUGAAGGCGAGUCAACCGAGCGAUCAAGUGUCUUGAUAAUCCGUCAGUUCGGCUCGCUUCACCUCAGGCAUCAGAGCAAAGCUAUGAGGUCGUUAAAGCUGUGAGUUAAAGUCAUAUAUCUGUUAUGCACGUGUCAUGCGCAAAUCUUAAAUAGCUAUUGUGAUUAAUUGAUUUCAAUUUUAAA